UGGGGGAUAUUGCACAAUGGGCGAAAGCCUGAUGCAGCGACGCCGCGUGGGGGAUGAAGGCUUUCGGGUUUUAAACCUCUUUCGCUAUCGAACAAGGCCCGCUUAGGGUGGGUUGAGGGUAGGUGGAGAAGAAGCGCCGGCUAACUACGUGCCAGCAGCCGCGGUAAUACGUAGGGCGCGAGCGUUGUCCGGAAUUAUUGGGCGUAAAGGGUUUGUAGGCGGCUUGUUGCGCCUGCUGUGAAAACGCGGGGCUUAACUUCGCGCGUGCAGUGGGUACGGGCAGGCUUGAGUGUGGUAGGGGGGACUGGAAUUCCAGGUGUAGCGGUGGAAUGCGCAGAUAUCUGGAGGAACACCGAUGGCGAAGGCAGGUCACUGGGCCAUUACUGACGCUGAGGAGCGAAAGCAUGGGUGGCGAACAGG
rnacentral:rRNA from 1 species